rnacentral:rRNA from 1 species
UACAGAGGUCCCGAGCGUUGUUCGGAUUCACUGGGCGUAAAGGGUGCGUAGGUGGCGAGGUAAGUCGGAUGUGAAAGCUCGGAGCUCAACUCCGAAAUGGCAUUGGAAACUACCUUGCUCGAGGGUUGGAGGGGGGACUGGAAUACUUGGUGUAGCAGUGAAAUGCGUAGAUAUCAAGUGGAACACCAGUGGCGAAGGCGAGUCCCUGGACAACUCCUGACACUGAGGCACGAAAGCGAGGGGAGCAAACAGG